UUCCCAUCUUUGGGGACCUACUGUACAUCCGCAUCGUGUAUUUGGCUCCUGUUUUUCUCCUUUCGUCCCGCGUGUUCUUCCCUCUCGCUAGAGUGAACGGUUUGCUUCCUCCCUCACACUUCCAGCACCAUCGAUGCACCAAUGAAUCACCGAAUAAAGUAAGAGAAAAAUUUCCUAUUUCGAUUCUUUGGUUGAUUGUCUUCCCCGAUUACCCAACUAUUUUUCUUCUCUGGUUGUUUCCUCUCUCUAUUUUUCCUGUUUAUUUCUUCCCAUUUUUCUUCCUCUCGACGCCAUGGGAGAGCUGUGAGACCUUAAAUUUCUCUUCAAGCUCUCACAGCUCAUCUCGGUGUUGGGGGCAAAUCGCCUAUAAGUUUCAGUUAUUCAUAUAUGUCGGGAGGGGAGCUGUUAAUAGGCUAUGAUGAUGGUUAUAGUGCUGGUAUUUCACUAGUGUACUAGGGGACCCAUCAAUAUGGCGGGGUAAUCCUCAUUCGGAUGACCAUAUUACAGUUUGUGGUACUUUCCACAAAAGGCAAACGGGGUUCGAGCGGGGUUUUGCAGCCAUUCGAUGUUCGCCACCUUACUUACGCAUGCUGAGCAUAUUUACACCAUUCUGAGCUCUUUCUCUUAUUAAUAUAUGUUAUAUUAAUAAUGUAUAUCGGAUGGGGAUGCUCUUAUAUAAAUUUUCGUGAUUUGCAUGCUGUUUGGUUGGUGUUUUGUAUUAUGUUCUAAUAGAAAAAUAAAUGUAUAAACUCAACCCCCUCGGCUAUGAUGAUGACAAUCGCAUGUGGGUAUACGGGAUUUUGAUUGCCAUCUCCUUAAUGGCUAGGUAACCCGGACAGCCAUGAAGUACUGGCAACCGGUUGUUGCAGCCAUGAGAGGGUGGCAAUCUUAUUUUUUGUAUUGUCAUUCGGUUCCUGAGCCCUGAGAAAAACCAUACAUCAAUUCAAAUAUCUUUUCUAAUCUCUAAAUGUUUUUUUAGAGAUGGAUUCACAAGACUUGACUAGUAUGUACUUCACCAACCUCCUUAGUCAAGAUCCUCAACUCGACCCCACUUACGGUGGGCAAAGUGGAACUUCUCCGUUGACCCUUGAUGACUCUCCAACCCUACCCCCUAACGAGCCCAUCGGCGUUAGGAAAUCAGUCAGGGGUGCGAAUUUCACCCCCGAAGAAAACAAGUUACUUGUCUCCACUUGGCUAAAUUGUAGCCUUAAUGUCGUUCAAGGAACAGAUCAAAAACACUCCCAACUAUGGGAAAAAUUUUUUGAGUACUUCCAGCAAUUUAAAGAAACUACAAAUGAGCAGACAAUAAAAUCUCUAAUUCAUCGGUGGUCGGUUAUCCAAAAGGCCACAAACAAAUUUUUUGCGAAACUAGCCCAAGUUGAAGGGUUAAAUCAGAGUGGCAUGACCGACCAA